ensembl:lncRNA
GUGCUUUCGUGAUAUUUAAUGGAUCGGAUUACAUUUUUUAUUUUUCUCCGAUAUCCGAUCCAGUAAUUUAGGUCAGUAUCGGACCGAUACCGAUACAUAAUAUCAGAUCGGUCCAUCUCUACUUAUCACACUAUAGCAGCUCACACAGAAGCUCUUCACACCUGUUGCAGGACUUUCCAAUUUCCACAGCACCAAUAAGUCCGCCUCAUGUGACUGAUCUUCCAGAAGCUGUUAGGAAACCCUUCAGCAGUGUGAAAAAAAAAAUAGCAGUUACAUACCGUUUCCAAUUGAAUGGAGUCUUUACAAAAAAAGAAAUGCUGCAAGCAAAUACUUACACACUGUUGUUCAGUUAGUCGGAGUUACCUUUUUAUUAGUGUUGUACUGUUCUGAGCACAAUGCUCACAAGGAAAAUUUUGAUAAGCAUGAUGCCAAAAUAAACCAAAACACCCUAAAGUCAUUUUUCAGUUGCUUAAAAUGAUCAUGACAUCCUGAUGUUUUCUUUUUUUUUUAGGUUAAAGAAAAAUAUGAAAAUAGAGUUGACAGUACAUUUAGGCACACUAUUAACACAUACUGUACACAGAUAUGCACAAUUUUCAUUAUCAUAUUCAUAUAUACUGGGGUUAAAAAAAACAUGAGCCUUCCUGUAUGGAGAGGUGUGCAGAAAGUUAAAGGUGAUACCGCCUUCGCCAUCAUAAGGGACACAUUAUUCACCUCCCAGUAAGCGAGGCUCCAGUCCAGUCCAAGCCAUGUUGUCCUGCUCAGCCAAUCAGAGUCCAUCGGGGCAGCUCGGUGCAAGCAAAUCACAGCAGACGAGGAAGUUUCCGUCCAAUGACUGCAGCAGAAUGGGGCGCCGUUUAGUCAAUGGGGGAGUGGGACUCCCACACUUGCUACAGCUUCAAUGCAUGAAAGAAAGAGCAGUUGUUCAAGGCCACCUCUGAAGUAGCUGUCCCCCCGCCACAGUCUAAUAAUCAUCUCUGAUUAUUUCUGCAAGAGUCAGCUGGGGAUAAAUGGGAAAAUAACCCCCUGCACACCGAAAAGAAAAAAAAGAAACAAAUC